UUCCUUAAUAUUUUACCUCGUUGCUCUUACUAGGGCACCAGGUUUAUAAUUUAAUAGUUUUGCUAUUAUAUAAUGGUAUAUUAUGCAACAAGUUUUCCAAACGACACUUUAGUCACUAGUUUGUUUAGGUUUUCGUAGGUAUAGCCGGUCUUGUGUGUGUGUUUUUUGUUAUUAUUAUUCGAAAUCGAAUUUUCGCAUUUAGUUGCUAAAUCAUUUAUUUAGGCUCCAAUGUGGAACUGGAAUAAUCUGACGUAUUAUUAGAGUGGAAUUUUCAAAUACUUCAACUUAAAACGGACAUAUAAACAAACAAAACAAACAAACACACAAAACACUCAAACCAAGAUAGAGGUUCUACGAUCUGAAGGAUCUAAGGGCAUAUGAUCUGCCCAAUAUGCACAAACAAGACUUCUUUCCCAUUUAAUGCAGACUUAAUUAAAGAUUUAAAUAGUUGCCAUACGUAACUGUACUUUAGGAAUUUAGAUAACUGUUAAGCUUGCAGAAAUAAAGAACCUCUGUUUGCGCUAGAGGAAGAAAAUACCCGCACGGUGAAGAAAAUAUAUGAUUUCUCAACUCAGCUAAAAAAAACGCGGUGUGAAAAGUGGAGCUACUAUUUACAUUCAUGAGACGUGUAUUUUGAGAAUUAUAGUUAAUACCAGAGUAAAUAUUUUUUCAAGAUUUCUUUGAUUUUUAGGAUUUGUUACCAUAACGUUUGUUGAAAUUGGCGUCAGACGCACUGACAAACUCAGACAGAGAUUAUCAAACCCGAACAAGAGAAAAUUGUUCAAAAAUUAUCUGAAGUAGUUUCGAAUCAAUGGUUAAUUGAAUAUUAGAGAGAACCAACCUUGAAACAAGGGGAUACUCUGGCCAGGCCUCAUGCAGAAACAAUUGCAUUUGAAAAAAAAACGAGCGGUUGUGAAACUGCAGGUGUUACAAGUGUUACAUUAUUUUACAAGAAACAAAUAGCUUUGCUCGAGGUAAUCUUUUUAGCAAAUUUAAAACGGGCACACAACAACGAAACGCCAAAAAGAAGAGAAAUUAGAAGAAAUAGAACAUAUUAUUAUAAUUGUUGGAUUUUUUAUGUUUACAUAAACACUUAGCUUUAGCUUUAAAAUAACUGUCAACAUGUAGUGGCUCCAAGAAAAAAAAAGUGUAGUGGCAACGGUGCGGGGAACUCUGCGCUUUUGAGAGAAUUCCGUGAGAGGAGACGAGUGAGCUAUGCGUCGAAUAGUUUCCAAUUUUUAAUGCGGAUUUUUAUGAGUGUAAAUUCCGAGUGUGGAAAUAAAUG